rnacentral:rRNA from 1 species
UGCCAGCAGCCGCGGUAAUACGGAGGAUGCGAGCGUUAUCCGGAUUCAUUGGGUUUAAAGGGUGCGUAGGCGGAAUAUUAAGUCAGGGGUGAAAGUUUGUGGCUCAACCAUAAAAUUGCCUUUGAUACUGGUAUUCUUGAGUACAUUUGAGGUAGGCGGAAUGUGUUGUGUAGCGGUGAAAUGCUUAGAUAUAACACAGAACACCGAUUGCGAAGGCAGCUUACUAAACUGUCACUGACGCUGAUGCACGAAAGCGUGGGGAUCGAACAGGAUUAGAUACCCCCGUAGUCC